GUUCCGACUCGGUUUGUGUGAACAGAAGGAGAAGCAAAGAUCUGAUCAGAAGCUGCACCUGAUGAGGCAUUCAGUUUCGGCUGUGGUGCCGUACUGGAAGAGGACAUUGGUUGAGAUAAUGCUGUCAUCAGCAAAUCCUUCUUCAUAUUCUGCUCUUAACUUUUUAUGAACAUCAAAAAUAAUCCAACAUCAGUUCUGCUUUUUUGUUUGUUUGUUUUUUCGUGUGUGUGUAUCUGCUCCAAUCCCCAGUCGGUCGUCAUCGCUUGUAUUGAGCCGGGUUCUGCUGGAGGUGUCUUCCAGUUUAAGGAGAGUUUUUCCAUUCCACUGUCACCACUUGCAUGACGGACCACUUUAAAGUCAACAACUCAAUGCAAGCGGUUUCCUGCUGUUGCUACGUGCUCAUCCAGGAGGAGUGAAUGAUGAAAAUCAAUAACUCGAUACCAUCUGCCAAAUUAACCUUGCUGUAUUGUUUAACUAGGAUCAAUUGAAAUGUAUCUGUGAUAGAAUUGAAAUGAUUGAUGUACUUUUUGUGUUGCAGAUGCUGCCAUAUCACAGUGCAAUUGGAGCUAUCUGAACAUUGCACUGAUCAGAUGGAAAUAACGAAAUGAGUUGGUCCUUUCUGAUCAAAUAAAAACAUAAAUUUCUUCUUUUUGUAAGCAGAAUGAGCAAUGUAAAACAGGCAACUAGCAAUAUACUGCUAAAAUCGGAGUCUGUAGCAUAUUUUAUGUCACAUGGCUGCAGGUGGGAUGGGAACUCGGGUGCCAACGCUGCAGCUUGAGAGAAUAAGGUGAUGCCUGUGCCUGGCUGGUUUUGUCUCUCCAAAGACAAAAACUAAAGCUGUUUGAGAAUAUUUCUAAUUGUUUCACACCAAAGAAAAAAACUGCUGCGCUCUUCAAAUUGAAGAUGCUGCAUCCAUCCAUCGACUUACCCAAUGCUGGAGCCCUUCAUCAUGUUGCUGAUGGAUCCGCUACCAACAUCAAUAAUCUAUCUACAAAUCAAUGUCACAGACGUUUGCCAUAUAGAAUAUUUUUUUAAUGUUUUCUCAUGUUGAAAAACCUAAGGCUUGUGCUAACCAUAAUAUGUACACAACCCACAACCCUGUGCAUGUUUUGUUCUAACUCUGAGCAUGUGUAUGUGUUAAUAUCUAAAUUAAGUCACCAAGAAACCAGGCCAUACAUGUCAAAAUGAACUGCAGAAUAGCAUGGUGCCUCUCAACUUUGCUGUGAUAAUAAUAUCAAGUCUUUUUUAGCAAUUACAUUGACUGCUUUGAGUGUGGUAAGUACCAGAAGAGCAGUGGUUGUCAAAUUUGCUACUUAAGGUAUUAAUGAGCAGUGACUCUUUUCUCCAAGAUAAGUGCUCAACCAUAGUUACAACUUAAAUGUUUAAGCACAUGUACACACAAAUGCUCCCCACUUUUUGUGAACGUAAGUGGGAAAACAAAAGGUAAUUUGUUGUUUAGGAAUGGUGCAGUAUGAGCAUACUUCAGCCUGGGAUAGAACUUUAAAUUUUUCCAGUGGAAAGCAACUUAAUGAACAAAACUAUCCUAACUUGGAUAGCGCAGUCGAUUACAUAUGUGCUUAGUACCUAAAAAUACUAGGUUCAAGUCCUGUUUCCGACAGACACCGACCUUUAAAAGUUGGAGUUCUCCCAACUUUUUUGUAA